rnacentral:rRNA from 1 species
GACGUAGGGCGCGAGCGUUGUCCGGAUUUAUUGGGCGUAAAGAGCUCGUAGGCGGCUUGUUGCGUCAGCUGUGAAAACCCGCAGCUCAACUGUGGGCUUGCAGCUGAUACGGGCAGGCUUGAGUUCGGUAGGGGAGACUGGAAUUCCUGGUGUAGCGGUGAAAUGCGCAGAUAUCAGGAGGAACACUGGUGGCGAAGGCGGGUCUCUGGGCCGAUACUGACGCUGAGGAGCGAAAGCGUGGGGAGCGAACAGGG